rnacentral:rRNA from 1 species
GAUGAACGCUAGCUACAGGCUUAACACAUGCAAGUCGAGGGGCAGCAUGGUCUUAGCUUGCUAAGGCCGAUGGCGACCGGCGCACGGGUGAGUAACACGUAUCCAACCUGCCGUCUACUCUUGGACAGCCUUCUGAAAGGAAGAUUAAUACAAGAUGGCAUCAUGAGUCCGCAUGUUCACAUGAUUAAAGGUAUUCCGGUAGACGAUGGGGAUGCGUUCCAUUAGAUAGUAGGCGGGGUAACGGCCCACCUAGUCUUCGAUGGAUAGGGGUUCUGAGAGGAAGGUCCCCCACAUUGGAACUGAGACACGGUCCAAACUCCUACGGGAGGCAGCAGUGAGGAAUAUUGGUCAAUGGGCGAGAGCCUGAACCAGCCAAGUAGCGUGAAGGAUGACUGCCCUAUGGGUUGUAAACUUCUUUUAUAAAGGAAUAAAGUCGGGUAUGGAUACCCGUUUGCAUGUACUUUAUGAAUAAGGAUCGGCUAACUCCGUGCCAGCAGCCGCGGGAAUACGGAGGAUCCGAGCGUUAUCCGGAUUUAUUGGGUUUAAAGGGAGCGUAGAUGGAUGUUUAAUUCAGUUGGGAAAGGUUGCGGGUCGCCGUAAAAUUGCAGUUGAUACUGGAUAUCUUGUGUGCAGUUGAGGCAGGCGGAAUUCGUGGUGUAGCGGUGAAAUGCUUAGAUAUCACGAAGAACUCCGAUUGCGAAGGCAGCCUGCUAAGCUGCAACUGACAUUGAGGCUCGAAAGUGUGGGUAUCAAACAGGAUUAGAUACCCUGGUAGUCCACACGGUAAACGAUGAAUACUCGCUGUUUGCGAUAUACUGCAAGCGGCCAAGCGAAAGCGUUAAGUAUUCCACCUGGGGAGUACGCCGGCAACGGUGAAACUCAAAGGAAUUGACGGGGGCCCGCACAAGCGGAGGAACAUGUGGUUUAAUUCGAUGAUACGCGAGGAACCUUACCCGGGCUUAAAUUGCAGAUGAAUUACGGUGAAAGCCGUAAGCCGCAAGGCAUCUGUGAAGGUGCUGCAUGGUUGUCGUCAGCUCGUGCCGUGAGGUGUCGGCUUAAGUGCCAUAACGAGCGCAACCCUUGUUGUCAGUUACUAACAGGUUCCGCUGAGGACUCUGACAAGACUGCCAUCGUAAGAUGUGAGGAAGGUGGGGAUGACGUCAAAUCAGCACGGCCCUUACGUCCGGGGCUACACACGUGUUACAAUGGGGGGUACAGAGGGCCGCUACCACGCGAGUGGAUGCCAAUCCCCAAAACCUCUCUCAGUUCGGACUGGAGUCUGCAACCCGACUCCACGAAGCUGGAUUCGCUAGUAAUCGCGCAUCAGCCACGGCGCGGUGAAUACGUUCCCGGGCCUUGUACACACCGCCCGUCAAGCCAUGAAAGCCGGGGGUACCUGAAGUACGUAACCGCAAGGAGCGUCCUAGGGUAAAAC